rnacentral:rRNA from 1 species
GACGAACGCUGGCGGCAUGCCUAAUACAUGCAAGUCGAGCGGACUUGAAGAGAAGCUUGCUUCUCUGAUGGUUAGCGGCGGACGGGUGAGUAACACGUAGGCAACCUGCCCUCAAGUUUGGGACAACUACCGGAAACGGUAGCUAAUACCGAAUAAUUGUUUUCUUCGCCUGAAGAGAACUGGAAAGACGGAGCAAUCUGUCACUUGGGGAUGGGCCUGCGGCGCAUUAGCUAGUUGGUGAGGUAACGGCUCACCAAGGCGACGAUGCGUAGCCGACCUGAGAGGGUGAUCGGCCACACUGGGACUGAGACACGGCCCAGACUCCUACGGGUGGCAG